GGAACAUCAGCGUUUCAGUUUGAAGGUGCUGAAUCAGAAGAUGGAAGAACUCCUAGCAUUUGGGACACCUUUAGUUAUCCUGUUGGAAAUUUGCAAGGAGAGAAGGGGAAAAAGACAUGCGAUGGGUACCACAAGUACAAGGAUACGGUCAGUAUCCGUUUCAAGGCUGAGGUUAGCAGUGUGGGACCAUCAUCCGAACUCAUCUACUCUUACGAUCCAGUGCAGGGUAGAAGUUUUAUGUAAUACUUCAGUUUCAGUUUUUAUUUACUUUUGACGUUGAACUCUCAGGGUUAUAUUUAGGGAUCCCUGACGUAGGAUUUCCAAGUUGUAAUGAAGUACUGUAUUAAAUAAAGGACGGAUGGAUGUUGUAUUAUUUAAUGUUUCUUUCCUGUCUAAAUUCUUUUAUUUCCAUCAUUUUGUAUUCCAUGCUUGUAUAUUGCCAAUUGUUUUUGAUAUCCCUCGUUUUUCGUGUAUAAGCCUGAUCAACUUAUGCGUGGAAACUGUGGGGGUGUUACAGUUGGUAUCAGAGCAUUCCAGGUUCGAGUGUCUUAGGGAUCUGUGAUUACUAUACUUCCGCGUUGUGUAUUCUGAUAAUUAGAGCCUAAGUAUUAGUGUUCUUUGUAUUCUUUUAGUCGGUCCAUUAUAAUGUACGGACGUUAGAUUUUUCUGAAUUUAAAAGAAGGAUGUCUCGGCGUGGGACAAGGAAUGCGAACCGUCAUCGCAGUAUUUCCCCCACUCAAAAUGAGAAUCAGGAAUUUUCUCCUCAAGUUGCUGAUAUCAUUGCACGAGCUGUGGCAGCAGGAGUAGCAUCUGCUCUACGAAACCAGCAACCUCCUCCGAUAGUACCUGUUCCUGAACCAGUGGCACAGCCAAUGUCAUGGGACAAAGUUCGUCACUCGUUCAUCCGGGGGAAUCCACCGACAUUUGCAGGGUCCACAGAUGUCCUGUUAGCAUAUCAGUGGAAACAGGAGAGCGAGCGUCAUCUUCGGAUGGUAAUCUGUACCGAAGUGCAGAAACAGAUGCUAGCUACGUUUAUGCUGAUAGGCAAUGCAUUGCAGUGGUGGGAGUCUAUUACUACUGUCGAAGACAGGACCAGAUUGACUUAUGCUGAAUUUCAGACUCGCUUUGACGACAAGUAUUUUCCUAUGUCAGUAAGAUCAGCGAUGAAGACUGAAUUUCUGGAUCUGCAACAGGAAGAUAUGACUGUGGCUGAGUAUGAACAGAAGUUCAUUAAUCUGUCAUUAUUUGCACCAGAGGAGGUCAAUACGGAAGAAAAGAAGCGAGACCGCUUUGUGAAGGGGUUGAUAUGGCCGAUUAAAGUGGUGAUCUUAGGUAGUCCGGCAUAUACUACUUAUAUCCAGGUGGUUAAUGCCGCCUUACAGCACUGCCAGAUGAGGAGUGAUUACCGGAAGUCCAAGGGAGAUAAGCGGACUAACCGAGACUACCAGACAGUGGAGAAAGGAAGCAGCAGUGGUGCCAAGUCCAAUGAUCGGGGCAGAUUUCAAGGACAUCAACCUUGGAAGAAAAACAAAGGAAACCCAGAUGUGCAGAGGGAUGGAGUCCCUAAUCAGGGUAGACAAGGUGGGAUACCUCAGACCGGACAGGAACAGUGGUCGGGAAAUCAACAGAGAAGGCAGACAGGUCCUUUUACGGGACGUUGUUAUCACUGUAGAGAGAUUGGGCAUCCGGCCAAGAUGUGUCCCAAAGCUAAGCAGGGACAGUAUGGGCAGCCGAGACCUAAUCAGCCGUUUCCUCUACCGGCCCCACCGAUGCCACGUGGGCAAGUUCAAAAUGUUCCGGCACUUCCAGCACCACCAUUUCCUCCGGGGCAACCUCCACAGCAAUUGCAUCAUGGCAGAGUUUAUAACUUCAUGCCACAUAAUGCGCAGGCUCCUCAGGCUAUUGAGGGAUACGGUCAGUAUCCGUUUCAAGGCUGAGGUUAGCAGUGUGGGACCAUCAUCCGAACUCAUCUACUCUUACGAUCCAGUGCAGGGAGGAUGUCCAGCUCAUGGCGGAUACAGGUUUGGAGGCCUAUAGAUUUUCCAUCUCAUGGUCAAGACUUAUCC